AAGAAGGAAGCAUAAGGGUUAUGUGAUUGGCUUGAAACUAAUUGAAGGGGGUUCGACUCCCUCCUUUCUUG
rnacentral:tRNA from 1 species